ensembl:snRNA U6 U6 spliceosomal RNA
GUGCCCACUUUGGCAGCACAUAUACUAAAAUUAGAAUGAUACAGAGAUUAGCAUGGCCCCUGUACAAGGAUGACACAAAUUCAUGAAGCACUCCAUAUUUUA